rnacentral:rRNA from 1 species
AGAACGAACGCUGGCGGCGUGGAUAAGACAUGCAAGUCGAACGCGACUUAUUUUGUUAGCAAUAACGAAGUAAGUUGAGUGGCGAAAGGGUGCGUAACACGUGGGAAUUUACCAAAAAGUGGGGAAUAGCUUGGCGAAAGCCAAAUUAAUACCGCAUGUGAUCGAAAGAUCAAAGCCGGGGACCGCAAGGCCUGGCGCUUUUUGAGAAGCCCGCGGCCCAUCAGCUAGUUGGCGAGGUAAAAGCUCACCAAGGCUAUGACGGGUAGCUGGUCUGAGAGGACGACCAGCCACACUGGAACUGAGACACGGUCCAGACACCUACGGGUGGCAGCAGUCGAGAAUUUUUCACAAUGGACGAAAGUCUGAUGGAGCGACGCCGCGUGGAGGAUGAAGGUUUUCGGAUUGUAAACUCCUGUCACUGCAGAACAAGGCUGUGUGUAUGAAUAGUACAUGCAGUUGAUGGUAUGCGGAGAGGAAGGGACGGCUAACUCUGUGCCG